CGCUGGCGGCGUGCCUAACACAUGCAAGUCGAGCGGGGACAUGGAAGUAGCAAUACGGAAUGUUCUAGCGGCGGACGGGUGAGUAACGCGUGAGCAACCUGUCCCAGUCAGGGGGAUAACGAGCCGAAAGGCUCCUAAUACCGCAUAAGACCACGAAGUCACAUGGCUUUGAGGUCAAAGGAGAGAUCCGGACUGGGGUGGGCUCGCGUCUGAUUAGCUAGUUGGUGAGGUAAAGGCCCACCAAGGCGACGAUCGGUAGCCGACCUGAGAGGGUGAUCGGCCACAUUGGAACUGAGACACGGUCCAAACUCCUACGGGAGGCAGCAGUGGGGAAUAUUGGGCAAUGGGCGAAAGCCUGACCCAGCAACGCCGCGUGAAGGAAGAAGGUCUUCGGAUCGUAAACUUCUAUCCUUGGUGAAGAUAAUGACGGUAGCCGAGAAGGAAGCCCCGGCUAACUACGUGCCAGCCGCUGC
rnacentral:rRNA from 1 species